rnacentral:rRNA from 1 species
GAUGAACGCUGGCGGCGUGCUUAACACAUGCAAGUCGAACGGGAAACCUUUUAUUGAAGCUUCGGCAGAUUUAGCUGGUUUCUAGUGGCGGACGGGUGAGUAACGCGUGGGUAACCUGCCUUAUACAGGGGGAUAACAACCAGAAAUGGUUGCUAAUACCGCAUAAGCGCACAGGACCGCAUGGUCCGGUGUGAAAAACUCCGGUGGUAUAAGAUGGACCCGCGUUGGAUUAGCUAGUUGGCAGGGUAACGGCCUACCAAGGCGACGAUCCAUAGCCGGCCUGAGAGGGUGAACGGCCACAUUGGGACUGAGACACGGCCCAGACUCCUACGGGAGGCAGCAGUGGGGAAUAUUGCACAAUGGGGGAAACCCUGAUGCAGCGACGCCGCGUGAAGGAAGAAGUAUCUCAGUAUGUAAACUUCUAUCAGCAGGGAAGAUAGUGACGGUACCUGACUAAGAAGCCCCGGCUAACUACGUG